UCACGGGACGUUACGCGUUAGUGCCACGAAGCCCUGACCGCGCUCCAAAGCGAGUCCUGGCGUCUCUGUGCUCGACGCUCUCCGCGCAUACGGUCUUCCUUAAAUAUUCAAUAUUCGCUUUCCAGAUUCGUUCUACGAAUGAAAAACAGAUGAAGGCAAAUUAAGUCGGGGUUAAAGCUUCUUCUAAUUAUGACGUCCGGCACCCUUCUCUCUAUCGUUCCAAUUGGUUAAAAGACGUGUUGUUCGCUCCCAUAGAUAUAGGAUUCCUAUCAAUUCCUAUCGCUCCACGUCCCAAGCGGGUCUCGAGGUUAAAGCAUAGAGCUAUUGCAGAUAGAGGGAAGCAGGUAGGCGACGUGACGGAAGUGUCCUAGGCAUUGUGGGUAAAGUGGAUCAAGAUGGCCGCUCACGGGCGCCAAUAUUGAAUAUCUUCUCGGCAUCGCAGCACGAUGGCACUAAGAAAAGUAGCUCAAAGUUUUCAGUAGUAAUUACAAAACGAUUUUAUUUAAAGUAUGAUUUCCAAAAUAACUUUGCCAAUACUAUAUUCAUAAUUAUUAUCAGCGAGUAACCUUAUGAUACAGAUAUAGAAGGUCGUGCUGAUAGUUUCCACGGAAUCAACGUCAGGCAGUAGGCAUUGUCCUCUCGAAGGCGGCAGUCGUCCGAUGAUAUCCAAAUGAACGUGGUGGAAGCAUGCGUUGGGCAUCGCUAUGCGUUUUGGAAUGUUCCUCGCGUGGCGGUGAAUUUCACUGCGUUGGCAAGAGACAUUCCCUCGUCCAUGCAGCAAUAUGAUCGCUGUUCAUGUUGGGCCACACGAAACUGCGCUGGAUGAUCCUCAGCGUCGCUCUGGUGGAUGCAUCAGUGCGUUGUAGUAGCGGUGCAUUGUCCAGUGGAUGCGCAAGCAAUGCUGCGACGCCAAUCCCCUGUCUUUUUCUUGAAUAGAUGCAGAAGACUGGUCCAAGGGCUGCAGGUACCUUCAGCUACCAAAUGUGUGAAUUGUUCACGGGCGGCUUAUAAUUUUUCCGGUAGCAAACGUCUCGCCCGCUCGGCGACCGGCGGUCCUCGUGUCUGGGCUCGAUGCGGUGGGCCGGCCUGGCAACCUCGGCAAGCUCCCUGAGUAGAUCUGCGUAUCGGGCCGUGCGGUCUAUCGUGGAUACGGCGGAAGACAGGGCUCGGACUAGACGUCCGACGAAACCCAUUCUGGUUUCUCCGUCCACGAGUUGGCGUUGUCGAAGUUGAAUCAAAAGAUUGUGACGUACGAGAAAAUCGGCACCCAAGAUUGCCUGCGUCACGUCCGCACCGAUGAAGAUCCACUCAU